rnacentral:sRNA from 1 species
UGCCGCAGGCAACGACCCGAAGGGCGAAGCGCGCAGCGCUAGUAAUCCUUCCCCCACCACCA